AGCGACCCUAGGUUCUCUUCGCGCUCCCUGGCUGCUCCAGAGACCGAGACCUGAGCCCUCAGACCGGACCGCUGGCCCGCACGCCCCUACGCCGCCGCUACUCAGCGACACUGGCCUUCUGUCCCAUUGCGCCGGUACCUCCCGGAAGCCGGGCGAGCACCUGCGCAGGCGCGUCAAGGCCCCGCCCCCGACUUCGCGUGGCCUGGAGUGCGGAGCAUGCGUAGUAGCCUUGGACCGUUGGGUUAGGCUGUAGCUGAGUCGGGUGCCACGCAACGUGCCCUUUGGUCGCCACUCUGGGGUCACGAAGUAAGAGGCUCUUGGCCACCUGCCUGUUGAGGAAAGCGUCGUCCCUGCCGCGUGUUUCUGCUCUCAGAGAGCUUCGUGGGCAUAAAGGGAACACUGGCCCAGAGAGGCAGGGGAUUGGAAACAGUUCGCCGCCUCCCAGCCCCGCGCAUUUGACAAGAGAAGAGCUUCGAGCAAAGCGCCAUAGAAGCUCUUAAAGGAGAUAGAGGGGGUGGCCUCACAGAGGAGGUGGCAGUACUGCUAGAGCAGGCAGGGUGUGAGGAGGGGUGUUCCUGGUGGUCUUUGCCUGGAGGGCAUUGUCAGAAAUGGAGGUUCCAUGGUGAUUCCAUCCUUGACUACAGUAAUAAUGUGCACAUCUGAGACCGGGUGUCUCUAACUGUUUGAGGUGCCAUCUUGCCCAUGGCUGGGAGUUUCCUGAUGAACAAAAUCUUGGCAAUGGUGAAAAGCUGGGUGAUGGAACAAAGGCUCUGCUCAGCAUCACUGAACAUGAAAUACCUGUCCAGAAUAUCUCCUGGAACUCCGUCAUGUUCAUUCUGACAGUUUUUGUUGGUUGGUUUGUUUGUUUGUUUGUUUGUUUUUGGUAAUUCUGGGGAGGUACAGGCUACUGGAGGUACUAACUCCAUCCUUUUCACUGAUGUCACUCCAUGAGUUCAGUUUUUGAACAUAUUAGGUUAAGUCUCGGUACCACACCAAGUGUAAACCAGUAUAUAAAUUCUUUAGGCUAAAGAUCUGUUUGGUAUAUUCACUAUUGGAUCCCCAGCACUUAGAACAGUCCAUAGCACACAGUGAGCACCCAACAAAUGUAUGUUGAAUGACUGGAGCUUCAUAGUAAAAAUAUGAAAAUAGGAACAUUAAACUUAACUUCAGCAUAUGGCUUAGAGGUAGGGAUGUUCGAAUCAUCAGUGUAUAGAUAAUAACUGAAGCCACAGAUGAAAAAGAAGUUGUUUUCAAAUUACAUUAGUAACAAAUUCCUUUUUAGGACAAAGCAAAAUUACUAUUGCCACCUACCUCCCUAAAGUAGUUAUACUGGCCCUGUGUCCCUGCCUAGACAAUUUACUGUCUUUCUCUUUUUCUCACCAAAUAAGAAACAAGCACAUGAAAACUGUUCAACACCAUUAGUCAUUCGGUUCCAGUUUCAGUUCAGUCGCUCAGUCGUGUCCGACUCUUUGCAACCCCAUGA
rnacentral:lncRNA from 1 species